GUCUUGCUCAUUUAGUUGUUUUGUUUAGGUGAAAACAGUCUUUUAUUGAAGUUUGAUAUUGUAAUAUAUAUAUAAUCACUGAAAAGAUUGUUGACAAGGACAUUGUCUCAUUGUUAUUUUGCAGAACUUGCUUGGGCUGGUACUGUAUUGCAACUUAUUUAUAGGUUUUUCAAAUAUUCUUAAUCACAUUCAGUAUUUUCACUGUUAGUUACAAACAUAGAUUGAGCUUGAACUAAUAUAGCUAAUAUGAGAAAUUGAACAUCUUGUGAAGGCAUUAAUAACUUGUUAAACAUCAAAUAUGACGAACAGUUCUGAAUUUUGCCAAGUGCUUGGCCUUUGUGGGG
rnacentral:lncRNA from 1 species